rnacentral:lncRNA from 1 species
UCCUGCUGGCCUUAAAGAAGUGAACCACCAUGAGCUCCACAGCCGUGAGGAAGUGAACUCUGACAACAACCACAUGAGCCUGGAUGAGAACUUCACACCUCAGGGGAGACCCCAGCCCUGGCCCAAACCCUUGGGCACGGUCGCAUGAGCUGCAGAGCGGAGCAGCCAGUUCAGCGGAGCCUGGACUCCAGCCCCACGGAAACGGACUGAGAAGAAACUUCCCUUGAGUGGAACUUCCUGCAGGUCGGGCUGUCCCGCGGCGAAGCUGUCUGCAUUGUCCUGUGAUGCACCCUCUGUCGUUGGAGACGGGUAAGAGAGGCCGAGGGUCAAGCUGUUGGACUUCCACAGAAGGAACUCGGCGGCAGGAGAAUCAGCUCCUCUCCAGGGUUCUAUUUAAUUCAGGUUUUAGGAUGCUUUUGACAAGUGUCAUACGAUGAUCAUUCAUUCAUUUGAGAAGCUCAAGCAUUUCAGUGAAUUGAAAAGCAGACGGCAGGCUCGCUGGAGGCAGAGCCUCGAGCAGACUAUCAACUCACAGUUCCCAGAACAGGUUUUCCCAGAUUACUCUGCAGUCGGUAGACAAGGCAGGGAUUUUUAAUUGCGGUGUCUGCUCCCUGGCUCCCAUCUUCCUCCCGUGGCUGCAGUCCCAUUGGAGACAUGGCUGCAAUGCCCAGAUGACCCCUCAGGACCAGAAGACCUGCUCCCUCAGCUGAUGGGCAGUUUCCAGGGGUUGCCUCAUCCAAGGUCGUGCCCCACUUCCUGAGGCAACCUGCACGCAGUGGCCAGCCAAUACCGGUGUGCACCGACCAGCCCCUGGCCCCAGCGAGCACCAGCCCUACAGGGCCCUCUCAGCCUCAGAGCUCCCGCGGGUUCAGCCAAGGUCUCGUUGUGACUUCACCCAGCUCAGCGCCUCCCUUCCGACAGGGUGGACCCUGGGGACCCCCCGCUAACUCACCCCCAGCUGGCAAACCGCUCCCGCAGUUGGCUUUCUGGAGAACCCACUGGGCAAGAGCAAAGCUGUCUCGUCUCAGACUCCGGUGCGGGGGAGAAAGUUAGUGUGACAGCACACAGCACACACUGGCCUAGAACCCCUCUCCGAACUCUUUUUCUCUCCGCAGCCUCUCUGGACAUGGUGCCUAAUAAAUAUUUAUUGUUGAUUUUGACUUGUAAGAAAAGCAUAUUUUACUUUCAUUACAGGAAACUCAAAAGAUUAAGGAUUUUUUUGAUCAUCCUUGAGUUCCCCUUAAUAAUCAGUUUG